CUCUACGGCCAUACCGCCCUAAAUGCACCCGUUCUCGUCUGAUCUCGGAAGCUAAGCAGGGUUGGGCCUGGUUAGUUCUUGGAUGGGAGA
rnacentral:rRNA from 1 species